rnacentral:rRNA from 1 species
GAAAGAUGGUUCUGCUAUCACUCUUGGAUGGACCUGCGGUGCAUUAGCUAGUUGGUAAGGUAACGGCUUACCAAGGCAAUGAUGCAUAGCCGAGUUGAGAGACUGAUCGGCCACAUUGGGACUGAGACACGGCCCAAACUCCUACGGGAGGCAGCAGUAGGGAAUCUUCCACAAUGGACGAAAGUCUGAUGGAGCAACGCCGCGUGAGUGAAGAAGGGUUUCGGCUCGUAAAGCUCUGUUGGUAGUGAAGAAAGAUAGAGGUAGUAACUGGCCUUUAUUUGACGGUAAUUACUUAGAAAGUCACGGCUAACUACGUGCCAGCAGCCGCGGUAAUACGUAGGUGGCAAGCGUUGUCCGGAUUUAUUGGGCGUAAAGCGAGUGCAGGCGGUUCAAUAAGUCUGAUGUGAAAGCCUUCGGCUCAACCGGAGAAUUGCAUCAGAAACUGUUGAACUUGAGUGCAGAAGAGGAGAGUGGAACUCCAUGUGUAGCGGUGGAAUGCGUAGAUAUAUGGAAGAACACCAGUGGCGAAGGCGGCUCUCUGGUCUGCAACUGACGCUGAGGCUCGAAAGCAUGGGUAGCGAACAGGAUUAGAUACCCUGGUAGUCCAUGCCGUAAACGAUGAGUGCUAAGUGUUGGGAGGUUUCCG